UGUGGAUGUCCUUCUAGGCCCCCAGUCAGACUGUAACUGUAAUAUGUGGAUGUCCUUCUAGGUCCCCAGUCAGACUGUAACUGUAAUAUGUGGAUGUCCUUCUAGGCCCCCAGUCAGACUGUAACUGUAAUAUGUGGAUGUCCUUCUAGGUCCCCAGACAGA